GACGGAGGGGGCAAGCGUUGUUCGGAAUUAUUGGGCGUAAAGCGCGUGUAGGCGGCCCACUAAGUCUGAUGUGAAAGCCCGGGGCUCACCCCCGGAAGUGCAUUGGAAACUGGUGGACUCGAGUCCCGGAGAGGAGAGUGGAAUUCCUGGUGUAGCGGUGAAAUGCGUAGAUAUCAGGAGGAACACCGGUGGCGAAGGCGGCUCUCUGGACGGUGACUGACGCUGAGACGCGAAAGCGUGGGGAGCAAACAGG
rnacentral:rRNA from 1 species